rnacentral:rRNA from 1 species
UAAUACGUAGGUGGCAAGCGUUGUCCGGAUUUAUUGGGUUUAAAGGGUGCGUAGGCGGCCCUGUAAGUCAGUGGUGAAAUACUCCAGCUUAACUGGAGGGGUGCCAUUGAUACUGCAGGGCUUGAGUGGAGUAGAAGUAGGCGGAAUUGACGGUGUAGCGGUGAAAUGCUUAGAUAUCGUCAAGAACACCGAUAGUGAAGACAGCUUACUAUGCUUCAACUGACGCUGAGGCACGAAAGUGUGGGGAUCAAACAGG